AUUACUUUCUGCUUGCUUGUCGCUGAUACCACGAUCGAGCUUGUCCGAUUGCUUGCUUGUUCAUUCACUGUCUUGCUGCAUCACCUAUUCCCCUGCCCUCUGCUUUUCGGCCUUUCUCUUUGUCAUGCGACUCGCAUAGGCUUGCCUGUAUGCUAAGGUUUCUACGUGCUUGCACGAAUAACAUCGGUAUGUGGCAAGCGCUCAUUCGCUUGCUAUCUGGAUUGCAUCUUGCGUGCUCGUCGCUAAUUUCACCAUCCAAAUCGGCUGAUUGCUUGCUUGUUUCUUCACUGGCUCGCCUCAUCAAACGUAUUCCUCCACCCUCUCAUUUUUGGCCUUGCUGCCAUUCUUGUAACUAUCCCGUAGGCUUGCCUGCACGCUGUGGUUUCUGCCUGAUUGCACGAGUGCCCUUCAAACGUGCUAGGAUGGAGGCUUUUCUGCUUGCAGGCUUUGCAGCUUCCUGCUUGCUCGUCGCUGAUUUCGCCAUUGAACUCGGCUGAUUGGUUGUAUGUUGUUUUGCUGGCUAACGUCAUAAACCACUUCGCCUGCCCUCUCCUAUUUAGCCUUCCGCCUUGUCUUGUGGCUGCCCCUAGGCUUGCCUGCACGCUGAAGGUUAUGCCUGCUUGCACGAAUGACAUCGGCAUGUGCUAAGAUGAGCGCUCAUUUGCUUGCUAUCUUGAGAGCUUCCUGCUUGCUCGUCGCUGAUUUAAGAAUCCAGCAUGGCUGAUUGCUUGCUUGUUUUUUCGCUGUCUUAGCUCAUAAGCCAUAUUAGCCUGCCUUCUCCUUUUUGACCUUUCUCCUUGUCCUGUGGCCUUCACGUAGGCGUGCCUGCUGCGAAGGCCGCUGCCUGCUUACACGAAUGACAUCGCUAUGUGCCAAGGGAUCAUUUGCUUGCUGCUUCACGCAGCUGACUGCUUGCUUUUUCACUGGUUUGCCUCGUGGACAAUAUUCCCCUGCCGUCUUUCUUGGCCUUGCUCUGUGACUAUAUUUUAGAUUUUCCUGCACGCUGAGAUCCCUACCUACUUGCACGACUGACAUUGCUUUGUGCUAGGAUGGAGGUGCUUGCUGCCUUGAUCGCUGAUUUGGCCAUCCGGCUUGGCUGAUUGCUUGCUUGUUCGUUCACUGUCUUGCUGCAUCAUUCGUACUCCCCUCCUCUCUCCUAUUUGGCAUUUCGCUUUAUCAAGUGACUGUCAUUUAGGCUUGUCUGCAUGCUGAAGUUCUUGACGGCUUGCACGAAUGACAUUUGAGCGUGCAAGGAUGCGGGCACUUCUGCUUGCUGGCUUGAUUGCUUCCUGCUUGCUCAUCACUGAUAUUGCUAACCAGCUUUGCUGACUGCUUGCGUUUUACCUCACUGGCUUGACUCAUCAACCAUAUUCCCCUCCACUCUCCUUUUUGACUUUGCCCUUUGUCUUGUGACUAUCCCGUAGAUUCACUUGCACGCUGAGAUCCCUGCCUGCUUGCACGAAUGACAUUGCUAUGUGCUGGGAUGGAAGUGCUUGCUUCCUUGAUUACUUCCUGCUUGCUCGUCCCUGGUUUUGCCAUCCAGCUUGGCUGAUUGCUUGCUUGUUCAUUCACUGUCUUGCCGCAUCAACUGUACCCCUACCCUCUACUUUUUGGCCUUUC
rnacentral:lncRNA from 1 species